rnacentral:rRNA from 1 species
UACGAAGGGGGCUAGCGUUGUUCGGAAUUACUGGGCGUAAAGCGCACGUAGGCGGGUUGUUAAGUCAGGGGUGAAAUCCCGGAGCUCAACUCCGGAACUGCCUUUGAUACUGGCAAUCUAGAGACUGGAAGAGGUUAGUGGAAUUCCCAGUGUAGAGGUGAAAUUCGUAGAUAUUGGGAAGAACACCAGUGGCGAAGGCGGCCGACUGGACCACACCUGACGCUGAGGCGCGAAGGCCAGGGGAGCGAACGGG